AGCGUGCGGCAUGCUUACCAUGCAGUCGAACGGCAGCGCGGGGCAACCUGGCGGCGAGUGGCGAACGGGUGAGUAAUAUAUCGGAACGUACCCUGGAGUGGGGGAUAACGUAGCGAAAGUUACGCUAAUACCGCAUACGAUCUAAGGAUGAAAGUGGGGGAUUCGCAGGGACCUCGUGCUCGUGGAGCGCCCGAUAUCUGAUUAUCUAUGUGGUAGGAAAAAACCCUACCGGGGUCUCUAUCAAUAUGUGGUCAGAGAAGAACACCACCCACUGUGGAUGUGACACACGCCCCACACUCCUACGGGAGGCAGCAGUGGAAAUUUUUGGACAGUGGGCGCAAGCCUGAUCCAACUGUGCCGCGAGAGUGAAAAAGGUCUUCGGUGUGUAGAUCUCUUUUGUCGGGAAAAAAACGGUUUUUUCUAAUACAGAUAUCUAGUGACGGUACCUGAAAAAUAAACCCCGGAUAUCUACGUGCCAACACCCGCGAUAAUACAUAGGGUGCACGCGUUACUCAAAUUUAGUGGGCGUAGAGCGUGCGCACGCGUUUUUGUAACAGUGUCGUGAACUCCCCGGUCUCACUCUGAAAGUGGAUAUGGAGAGUGCAGCGCUAGAUUUUGACAGAGGGGUAUAAAUUUCCGCGUGUAACAGUGAAGUGCAUAUAUAUGUGGAAGAACACCUAUGGAGAGCGCACCCCUGUGUCUCAAAUGUGACUCUCGUGCAAGAGAGCGUGGAGAGCACACAAGAAUAUAUACUGUGAUACUCCACGCUCUACAAUAUGUCUACUAUGUGUCGGUUUUUAUUUAUCUUGAUCACGCAUAUAACGCGAGAAAUACACCGUGUGAGAGUACUCUCACGAUAUUAACUCUCAGAAGAAUUGACGGACACCCGCACGAGCUGUGGAUGAUGUGUAUUAUCUCUAUGCACGCGAAAAUCUUAUCUACUUGUGAUGUGACAGAUCUCCUCGAGAUAUUGAGGAGUGCUCAAAGAGAAUCUGCACACAUGCUGCUGCAUGCUGUCGUCAUCUCGUGUCGAGAGAUGGUGUAUAGUCCGCAAGAGCGACACCCUUUGACUAUAUGUGCUAAGAAAGAACACUCAUAUGACACUGCCGGUGACAAACCCGGAGAGGUGGAGAUGACUAAGUCA
rnacentral:rRNA from 1 species